CGCAGGCGGUGAGUUCAAGGGAGCUGAUGGCACGAACUACAUUGUGUUGAGAGUGUCUGAUGUGAUGGCCGAGCUCUCUUAAGUGUGCGGUUUAUUACUUUGUUUCAGUUUUGAGUUCACGAUAGAGGCUAGCAUGAGUGGUAAGAUUGCUAUGUGAUAACCACUUGAUGCUGUUUCGGAUAAUUAUAGAAUUGUAUGAGCAAACCUGUUGUCCGGGUUAAAAACAUUUACCGAAUUUCUUUACAAAGAGAGCUUGAUGCUGGUUUCCCCCUACUUCUGCAUUAUGUAUGUACAUUACUGCUUGGCUGAUUGCCUAUUGUUGUGGCACUAUCUAUGUGAAAGGGUCCUAGACAUCUAUCUUCCUGUGAGUGGGCUAAACAUUAAGCAAACCUGGAGGAUGUGGCUUAUCAGAAUGAUUGCUCAUUCUUCAGUGUUGAAUCUAGGCUGCUGGUUGCUCAGGAUGGUAGGAGAAUUUGCUGUAUAGGACAAAGGGGUCAGUAGCAGGUGUUGUUUAGUGGAGAGAUGAGGCAAUCUGUGACCUUUCGUCUGCUGCGGAGUAAGAGCGCAGCAGAGGAUGAUGCGUCUGAGGGGAGUAAAGAUGUGCAGUCCCCGUGACCUUGCCGCCAAAGAGUGCAUGUUGUAAUUCCAGCUAUUCAUAGAUAGUUCCUGGUGCCUUGUAUGCCUAUGCUAUCAAAUUCAAAUCCCCAGUGAACAGAGAAGCAACAAAUAAGACACUAGAUGUGAUUCAAAUCCCUAUGGAGAACAGAGAAGCCUUACUCCUUAUAAAAGAAUUGUGUGGCAGACUUGUUCCUUAUAAAGAGUUGCACGGUAGACAGUGGCCUGAACUCACCGGUCCUCUGGUAGGUCAAUGGCUAACAACCCUUUGGUUAUGAACUGGGUCCUCUGGUUGGUCGGUUGCUGUGAGCUUUAUAAAUCUUUUAUAAACAAAAUAAUGAAUGUCCUUACCCUUUUCCUUUUCCAAAAGGAUUAAUUUUGUUAAUCUGCUAACCUCUACUUAAGAUGGCGCACCUAUUUAUUUAUUACAAAUUUCACAAAAAAUAUAUCCAACAUUCUAUCGUCAAAGAAAAAACACCAGAUCAAGUAGAACCAACAUCUCAUAGAAACAAUCAUGUGGCGAUCACAAUGAUGCUAAUCUAGGAGUCACAUGAAGUACCCACUUAAAUUUAGUGGACCGGCUAGUUUGCACCAGAGGUGAAUGUUAUGCUAAUACUUCAAAAUACCCCUUUUUUAUGUAGACCUGAUCUCAAGUUGUAUAUUCAAAGUAUGUUGUGACUGAAGUUGAAUACAACAACUCCAAGCAUCUCAUUAUGAAAGAGGAUGACAUCAUUGGUAUUCUUGAAUCUGAUGAUGUCAAAGACAUGAAGCCUCUCAAUGACUGAGUUCUAAUCAAGGUAUUUAUAUCGAAUGUCAUGUCACUAAUCAGUAGCGUAUAUUUAAAUAAUUUCCAGUCAAUCUUGUAUUGGUUGUAUCUGCAUAAUGGUUAACAGUCCUAUCUGUCUUACAUUUGUGCUAGGUUGCCGAGGUUUCAGAUAAGGCCGAAGCUGGCCUUAUCCUCACCGAGACAACCAAGGAAAAGCCAUCCAUUCGAACAGUAAGUUAUUGCCAUUGGUUAAGAGUCUGCACUUUUUUUUCGACAAAGAAGAGUCUGCACUUAACUGGUACUCCCUCCGUUCGGAAUUACUUGUCACAGAAAUGGAUGUAUCUAGAUGUAUUUUAGUUCUAGAUACAUCCAUUUCCGAGACAAGUAAUUCCGAACGGAGGGAGUAGGUGUUAAACUAAUUCACCUCUUAAUGCAGGUUGUAGCUGUUGGUCCGGGCUCUCUCGACGAGGAAGGCAAGAGGUAGCCAUUGUCGUUGUCACCAGGUAGCACCGUGUUGUACUCCAAGUAUGCAGGCGGUGAGUUCAAGGGAGCUGAUGGCACGAACUACAUUGUGUUGAAAGUGUCUUAUGUGAUGGCUGAGCUCUCUUAAGUAUGCGGUUUAUUACUUUGUUUUAGUUUUGAGUUCACGAUAGAGGCAAGCAUGAGUGGUAAGAUUGCUAUGUGAUAACCACUUGAUGCUGUUUCGGAUGAUUAUAGAAUUGUACUCCCUCCGUCCGAAAAUACUUGUCAUCAAAAUGAAUAGAAGGGGAUGUAUCUAGAUGUAUAUUAGUUCUAGAUACAUCCCUUUUUAUCCAUUUUGAUGACAAGUAUUUUCGGACGGAGGGAGUAUGAGCAAACCUGUUGUCUGGGUUAAAAACAUUUACUGAAUUUGUUUACAAAGGGAGCUUUAUGCCUGUUUUCUCGUGCUUGGCUGAUUGCCUAUUGUUGUGGCACUAUCUAUGUGAAAGGGCCUAGACAUCUAUCUACCUGUGAGUGGGCUAAACAAUAAGCAAAGCUGGAGGAUUUGCCUUAUCAGAAUGAUUGCUCAUUCUUCAAUGUUGCUUCUUCGAACCAUCUAGCGACUAUGCAACCUUAUUUCCCUACGUGAACCAAAUCUAGGCUGCUGGUUGCUCAGGAUGGUAGGAGAAUUUGCUGUAUAGGACAGAGAGGUCAUGUACAUCUGAUGUUUAGCGGAUAGAUGAGGCGAGAUGAGACCCUCUGUCAGCAGCAGAGGAAGAGGGUGAGCACCUUUCAAAGCAUUUGAGUAAGAGGAUGGUGCGAUUCAGCGGAGUAAGAUGUUGAGGCCCAACGGCCUUGCAACAAGUGAGUGCAUGUUGUAAUUCCAACUAUUCAUAGAUAAUUCCUGGUUCCUUCCAUGCCUAUGCUAUCAAAUCAAAUCCCUGGUGAACAGAGAAGCAACAAAUAAUACACCAAAUGUGAUUCAAAUCCCUAUGGAGAACAGAGAAGCCUUGCUCCUUAUGAAAGAGUUGUGUGGCAGACUUGUUCCUUAUAAAGAGUUGCGCGCUAGACAGCGGCGUGAAGUCAUCAGUCCUCUGGUAGGUCAAUGGCUCACAAUCCUUUGGUUAUGAACUAGGUCCUCUGGUUGGUCAGCCGCUGUGAGCUUUAUAAAUUCCUUUUAAAAAAAUGAUGAAUUUUCUCGAAAGUACUCUUUUGCUCUCGAGCUCAGAUGAGCUUGGAUGAACAGUAAAAUAAAUAAAAAAUCAAAGCAUUCCUAUUUGUGAAAGGUGCAACAAAAAAAAUCAAUGCUCUAAAAUGCUUUCUAAAGUACCAUUUUGGAUAAUGUAACAUCAACUGAUUCAGUUUCCUUUUUGUGGGUGAAGACUCAGUUAAUCCAGCGAAACUUCAAAGGGGUGGACUAAUGAGAUCUUUCUGUCUAUCUGCUCAAGGUGUAACCGGAACCUUGGGUGAGAUGGGGAUCAGGGAGGUGGCUGCGCUAUAGCCUCGAGACACCGGGCACUGAGCGUAAUUAAUUUUCUAUUGAGCGUAAAACCAAACAUAAUUUGAGGUAAUUUGUUACAAACUGACCAACCAAACACAUAUAUGUAUUCUUGAAUCUGAUGGUGUCAAAGACAUGAAGCCUCUCAAUGACUGGGUUCUCAUCAAGGUAUUUAUAUCGAUUGUCAUGUCACUAAUCAGUAGCUUAUAUUGAAGGGAUUUCCAGUCGAUCUUGUACUGGUUGCAUGUGUAUAACGAUUAACAAAGCUUAUCUGUCCUGCAUUUGUACUAGGUUGCUGAGGCUUUAGAUAAGAGUGCAGCUGGUCACCUAGAUAACCAAGGAGAAGACAUCCAUUGGAAUAGUAAAUUAUCACCAUUGUUAGAGUCUGUGCCAAACUAGUACUCCCUUUCGUAAACUAAUAUAAGAGCGUUUAGAUUAUUAUUUUAGUGAUCUAAACGCUCUUAUAUUAAUUACAGAGGGAGUAGGUGUUUAACCAGUUCGCCUCUUAAUGCAGGUCGUAGCUGUUGGUCCGUGCUCAAUCGACGAUGAAGGCAAGAGGCAGCCACUGUAGGUGUCACCAGGCAGCACUGUGAUGUACUCCAAGUAUGCAGGCGACGAGUUCAAGGGCACUGAUGGCACAAACUACAUUGUGUUGAGAGUGCAGAUGUGAUGGCCGAGCUCUCUUAAAUGUGCGGUUUGUUACUUUGUUUCAGUUUUGUGUUCAUAAUGGAGGCGAGCAUGAGGGUUGAGAUUGCUCUGUGGUAAUCGCUUGAUGCUAUUUCGGAUGGUUAUAGAAUUGUAUGAGCAAACCACUUGUCCGGGUUAAAAACAUUUACCGAAUAUGUUUACAAAGUUAGUUUGAUGCCUGUUUCCCCCUACUUAUACAUUAUGUAUGUACAUUAGUGCUUAGCUGAUUGCCGAUUGUUGUGGCAUUACUUCUGUGGAAGGUUCCUAGGCAUCUCUCUUCCAGUGAGCGAGCUAAAAAGUGAGAAAGCCUAGAGGAUCUGGUCUUUAGGCAAGUCUGAUUGCUCAUUCUUUAAUGUUGCUUCUUUAAAUUAUCUAGGGACCAAAUAUAUGCCGCUGGUUACUCAGGAUGGCAGGAGAAUUUGCCGUAUAGGACAGCGUCAUGAUGUUGAACUGAUGUUUAGCGGUGAGACGAGGCAAACUGGGACCUUUGGUCAGCAGCAGAGUAAUAAGACGCCGACCUUUUGAAGCAGAAGAGUAGGUGGAUGAUGGAGGUCAGCGGAGUAAGAUGUGGAGGUCGAGCACCAUUGCGACCAGCGAAUGCAUGUUGUAAUUCUAGCUACUCAUGGGUAAUUCCUGGUGCCUUCUAUGCCUAUGCUAUCAAAUUGAAAUCUCUAGUGAAUAGAGAAGCAACAAAUAAUACACUAAAUGUGAUUCAAAUACAUGAAAUGAGUUAUCCCUAAGGGGAGCUUUGCUCCUUAUAAAGGAGUUGUGUGGCAGACUUGCUCCUUGUAAAGAGUUGUGCCGUAGAUGGUGGUGUGAAGUCAUCAGUCCUCCGGUAGAUCAAUUGCUAAAAAUCCUUUGGUUAUGAAUUGGGUCCUCUGGUUGGUCAGCCGUUGCGAACUUUAUAUAGAUCUUUUAAACAAAACAAUCAACUUAUUUGCCUUUGUUUUUCAAAAGGAUUAAUUCUGUUAAGCUUGCAACCUCUACUUCAAGAUGACACACCUAGACAACAAAUUAUUUAUUACAAAGUUCGCAAAAAAUUUAGCCCAACAUCAAAAGAUAAAACACCUGCUUAAUUAGAACCAACAUCUCAUAGAGUGACACUAAUUUGGGAGUCAUGAAGGAUCCGUUUAAAAUUAUAAAAUUAAUGGAGCAGCUACUUUGCACUAAAGCUUAUGUUAGAGGUGAAUCCUAUGCUAAUACUUCAAAAUACCCAGCUUGGACAGACGUUGAAUACAACAACUCUAAGCAUCUCAUUAUGAAAGAGGAUGGGAUCGUAGGUCUUCUUGAAUCUGAUGAUGUCAAAGACAUGAAGCCUCUCAAUGACCGGGUGGUGAUCAAGGUAUUUAUAUCUAAUGUCGUGUAACUAAACUAUACUAGUGUAUAUUUCAAGAAUUUUCAGUCAAGCUUGUACUGGUCAUGCCUACCGGUUAACAAUGCUUAUCUAUCUUGCAUUUGUGCUAGGUUGCAGAGGCUUCGAACAAGACUGAAGCUGGUCUUAUCCUCACCGAGACAACCAAGGAGAAGCCAUCCAUUGCAACAGUAAGUUAAUUAUCAUUAGGUAGAAAUCCAUGUUGAACUAGCAGGUGUUUAACUGAUUCACAUCUAAAUGCAGGUCAUAGCUGUUGGUCCGGGCACUCUCGACGAGGAAGGCAAGAGGCAGUCCCAUUGUCGGUGUUACGAGGUAGCACCGUGCUGUACUCCAAGUACGCAGGCCGUGAGUUCAAGGAAGCUGAUGGCACGAACUACAUUGUGUUGAGAGUGUCGGAUGUGACAGCUGAGCUCUCUUAAAUGUGUGGUUUAUUACUUUGUUUCAGUUUGAGUUCAUGAUAGAGGCUAGCAUGAGUGGUAAGCUUGCUAUGUGAUAACCACUUGAUGCUAUUUCGGAUGGUUGUAGAAUUGUAUAAGCAAACCUGUUGUCCGGGUUAAAAACAUUUACUGAUUUUUUUAGAAAGGAAGCCUGAUGCAUGUUUUCCCCUACUUCUACAUUAUGUAUUUACAUUAAUGCUUGGCUGAUGGCCUGAUUUUUGUAGCGAUAUGAUGAUUUACAAUAAUAUAGUCAUGUUAUUGAACUUUACUUCUAUGAAGUGUUCCUUGUGAUUGCAUAUUGUUACAGACAUUUAUCAUCCUAUCAGUGGGCUAAAAAGUUAGCACUUCUGGAGGAUCGGGCCUGUAGGUGAGCUAGGAGGAUCUGAGCUGCACUCAGGCCUAUGAUGCGCCUCAGGGGAGUAACAUCUGGAGGCCCCAUGACCUUGACGCUAGAGAAUGCAUGUUGUAAUUCCAGUUAUUCAUAGAUAAUUCCUGGUGCCUUCUAUGCCUAUGCUAUAAAAUUCAAAUCCCUAGUGAAUAGAGAAGUGACAAAUAAUACACUAGAUGUGAUUCAAAUCCCUAUGGAGAACAGAGAAGCCUUACUCCUUAUGAAAGAGUUGUGUGGCAGACUUGUUCCUUAUAAAGAGUUGCGCGGUAGACAACGGCGUGAAGUCAUCAGUCCUCUGGUAGGUAAAUGGCUAACAAUCGUUCGGUUAUGAACUGGGUCCUCUGGUUGGUCAGCCGUUGUGAGAUUUAUAAAUCUUUUAAACAAAAUGAUGAAUUUCCUCGAAAGUAUCCUUCUGUGCUCGAGCUCAAGUGAGCUCAGAUGAACAGUAAAAUCGAAAAGAAAUUCAAAACGUUCUGAAAACUUUUUGGUGGUAAACUUUAACAAAUGUUAUAAGUGUUUGUAGAUUUUCGUCAUGAGAUCACAAUCGUGAAAGGCGUGGCAAAAAAAAAAGCAGUGCUCCAAAAUGCUUUUGAAAGUAGCAUUCUGGAUAAUGUAAUGUCAACUGAUUCCUUUUUUUGCGGGUGAAGAUUCAGUUAAUCCAGAGAAACUCCAAAGGUGUGGACUGAUGAGAUGUUUCUGAAUGUCUGCUCAAGGUGUAACCGGCACCUUGGGUGAGAUGGGGAUCAGGGAGGUCGCUGCACUGUAGCCCCGAUGCGGAGGGGAAUGCGAAGGAGAGCUAUUGUUGGGGGGAAACCACUCACGGAAGAAGAUGUCGCUUUCCCUUUACACCGGGCAUUGAGCGUAAUCAAUUUUCUAUUGAGCGUAUCCCAUUACAUUCCUAUCAAACCAAACUGAAUUUGAGGUAAUUUGUUAACAAAUUACCCUACAAACUAACCAACUAAACACAUAUAUGUAUUCUUGAAUCUGGUGGUGUCGAAGACAUGAAGCCUCUCAAUGACUGGGUUCUCAUCAAGGUAUUUAUAUCAAUUGUCAUGUCACUAAUCAGUAGCUUAUAUUGAAGGAACCUCCAGUCGAUCUUGUACUGGUUGUAUGUGCAUAAUGAUUAACAAAGCUUACCUAUCAUGCAUUUGUGCUAGGUUGCCGAGGCUUCAGAUAAGACUGCAGCUGGUCAUCAAGAUAACCAAGGAAAAGAUAUUCAUUGGAAUAGUAAGUCAUCACCAUUGGUUAGAGUCUGCGCCAAACUAGUAGGUGUCUAAUCAGUUCACCUCUUAAUGCAGGUCAUAGCUGAUGGUCCGGGCUCACUCAACAAUGAAGGCAAGAGGCAGCCACUGUCAGUGUCACCAGGCAGCAUUGUGCUGUACUCCAAGUAACCAAGGGCACUGAUGGCACAAACGGCAUUGUGUUGAGACUGCCAGAUCGAUGUGAUGGCUGAGCUCUCUUAAGUGUGCGGUUUGUUACUUUGUUUCAGUUUUGAGUUCACAAUGGAGGCAAGCAUGAGAGUUGAGAUUGCUAUGUGGUAGUCACUUGAAUGCUAUUUCGGAUGGUUACAGAAUUGCAUGAGCAAAGCACUUGUCCGAGUUAAAAACAUUUACUGAAUAUGUUUACAAAGAAGUUUGAUGCAUGUUUCCCCCAACUUCUGCAUCAUGUAUGUACAUUAGUGCUUAGCUGAUUGCCUAUUGUUGUGGCAUUACUUCUAUGAAAGGUUCCUAUACAUCUAGUAUCUUCGUUCUGUAAGUGGGCUAAGCAGUAAGCAAGCCCGGUGGAUCAUGUUUAUCAGAAUGAUCGCUCAUUCCUCAAUGUUGCUUCUUCAAACCAUCCAACAACAAUGCAACCUUAUUUCCCUGAGUGAACCAAAUCUAGGCUGCUGGUUGCUCACGAUGGCAAGAGAAUUUGCCGUAUAGGACAGCAUGGUGACGCAGAGCUGAUGUUUAGCGGUAAGAUGAGAAGAACUGGGUCCUUUGGUCAGCAGCAGAGAAAUGGGAUGCUGACCUUUUGAAGCAGCAGAGUAAGUGGAUGACGCGGGUUAGCGGAUUAAGAUGUGGAGGCUGAGCACCAUUGUGACCAGCGAGUGCAUGUUGUAACUCCAGCUACUCAUAGGUAAUUCCUGGUGCCUUCUAUGCCUAUGCUAUCAGAUUCAAAUCUCUUGUGAACAGAGAAGCAACAAAUAAUACACUAAAUGUGAUUGGAAUGCAUGAAAUGAGUUAUCCCUAAGGGAAGCUUUGCUCCUUAUAAAAGAGUUGUAUGGCAGACUUGCUCCUUGUAAAGAGUUGUGCCGUAGACGGUGGUGUGAAGUCAUCUGUCCUCUGGUAGGUCAAUGGCUAAAAAUCCUUUGGUUAUGAAUUGGGUCCUCUGGCUGGUCUGCCGUUGCAAACAUUAUAGAUCUUUUAAACAAAAUAAUUAGUUUACUUGCCUUUAUUUUUCAAAAGGAUCAAUUUUGUUAAGCUUCCAACCUCUCCUUCAAGAUGACACACCUAAACAACAAUUUAUUUAUUACAAAGUUCACAAAAAAUUAAGCAAAACAGCAAAAGAGAAAACACCAGCUUAAUUAGAACCAACAUCUCAUAGAAACUAAUCAAGUGACACUAAUUUGGGAGUCACAUGAAGGAUCCAUUUCAAAUUAUAAAAUUAAUGCACCAGCUACUUUGCACUAAAUCCUAUGUUAGAGGUGAAUCUUAUGCUAAUACUUUGAAAUACCCCGUGUACUUUUUAUGUAGAACGGAUCUCAAGUUGCAUAUUCAAAGUAUGCUCGGACAGACGUUGGAUACAACAACUCUAAGCUUGCCGUUAUGAAAGAGGAUGCCAUCAUAGGUAUUCUUGAAUCUGAUGAUGUCAAAGACAUGAAGCCUCUCAAUGACCGGGUGCUGAUCAAGGUAUUUAUAUAUAAUAAUGUUGUGUAACUAAACUAUACUAGUGUAUAUUUAGAGAAUUUUUAGUCAAGCCUGUACUGGUCAUGCACACCGGUUAACAAUGCUUAUCUAUCUUGCAUUUGUGCUAGGUUGCAGAGGCUUCAGACAAGACUGAAGCUGGUCUUAUCCUCACCGAGACAACCAAGGAGAAGACAUCCUUAUUGGAACAGUAAGUAAUUAUCAUUAGGUAGAAUCUGUGCUGAACUACCGGGUGUUUAACCGAUUCACCUAUAAAUGCAGGUUGUAGCUAUUGGUCCGGGCUCACUUGACGAGGAAGGCAAGAGGCAGCCACUGUCGGUGUCACCAGGAAGCACUGUGCUGUACUCCAAGUAUGCAGGCGGCGAGUUCAAGGGCGCUGAUGGCACAAACUACAUUGUGUUGAGAGUGUCAGAUGUGAUGGCUGAGCUCUCUUAAGUGUAGGCUUUGUUACUUUGUUUCAGUUUUGAGUUCAAAAUGGAGGCAAGCAGGAGGGUUGAGAUUGCUAUGUGGUAAUCACUUGAUGCCAUUUCAGAUGGUUAUACAAUUGCAUGAGCAAACCACUUGCACGGGUUAAAAACAUUUACCGAAUAUGUUUACAAAGGAAGUUUGAUGCCUGUUUUCCCCUACAUCUACAUUAUGUAUGUACAUAAAGCUUAGCUGAUUGCCUAUUGUUGUGGCAUUACUUCUGUGAAAGGUUCCUAAGCAUCUAUCUUUCUACGAGUGGGCUAAAGAGGAAGCAAACCUUGAGGAUCUGGCUUAUCAGAAUGAGUGCAAACCAUCUAUUGACCAUGCAACCUUAUUUCCCUAAGCUACCAAAUCUAUGUUGCUGGUUGCUCAGGAUGGCAGGAGAAUUGGGUGUAUAGGACAUCUAUAUAUGCCUAGUGGGGUUGUGUUUUAGUGGGGAGAUGAGGCGAACUGGGACCUUUUUUCAUCAGCGGAGUAAGAGGAUGAGGAAUUUGUGAAGCAGCAGUGUAAGAGGGUGAUGGGUUGGCGGAGUAAGAUGGGGAAGCCCAACAGUCUUGUGAUCAGAGACUGCACGUUGUUAUUUAAGCUAUUCAUAGAUAAUUCCUGGUGCCUUUUAUGCCUAUGCUAUCAAAUUCAAAUCCCUGGUGAACAUAGAAGCAACAAAUAAUACUUAUGUGAUUCUAAUACAUGAAAUGAGUUAUCUAAGGGAAGUCUUGCUCCUUAUAAAAGAGUUGUCUGGCGGAUUUUCUCCUUAUAAAGAGUUCUGCAAUAGAUGGUGGUGUGAAGUCAUCCGUCCUCCGGUAAUUCAAUGGCUAAGAAUCCUUUGGUUAUAAACUGGGUCCUCUGGUUGGUUGGCCACUAUGAAAUUUAUAAAUCUUUUAUAAACAAAAUAAUGAAUUUACUUGCCUUUUUUCCCAAAAGGAUUAAUUUUGUUAAGCUUACAACCUCUACUUCAAGAUGACACACCUAGCCAACAAAUUAUUUAUUUAUUACAAAGUUUACAAAAAAUAAAGCCCCAAAUACAAGCUUGAGUAGAACCAACAUCUCAUAGAAACUAGUCAUGUGCCGAUCACAGUGAUGCUAAUUUUUGGAAGCCACAUGAAGGAUUCAUUUAAAUUUAAUGCACCACCUAGUUUGCACUAAAGCUUAUGUUAGAGGUGAAUCUCUACUCCUAAUGUCUGAGUUGGUAGAAUAGUAUCCAUGGUUUAUUUUCGUCCCACCACUUUCAACCGUUUUAUUUCACUGGUUUUUUUUCGUCCCCUCCCCCCACCCCACCGAUUUAGUUCCGCAUCACCCUAUUACACAACGAAAAAAAUCUGAACGGAUCAGAACUUUCCAUGCUAGCGAAAGUUAUUUAGCAAUAUCUUUAUGUGAAAGAAUCAAUCACGAUCAAUCUCUAAAGGUCAAAUCUAAAUUAAUUAGCCUUACCAUAAAUUACUCAAUCACAUUAAUUAAGGAACAAAUAACCGUGCGUAUGAGCAUUAAUCGCUCAAUCACAUUAAUUAGCCUUACCAAGAGGAACGAGGGCGGCGGCGACCGGCUGCGCGAGAGGUCGAUCUGGUCGCGCCUUCCCACCACCGACCGCGCCGCGUCGUUGUCGGAGGGCCACCCUGCCGCUACCGGGGACUCACCAGGUCGAAGCACGCCACCACGCCGCCACUCUUCUGUCUCUCCCUACUCGCCUCUUGCGGCCAAGGAGCGCCCCAACCUCGACAUGUCACUCGCAUGGCUCCCAUGGUGCCGCCCCGCAUAGCUCCUUGCUGAGUGCCGCAGGUCAUGAUGCCCGCCGAUUCGAUCUGCACGGCCUACCCCACCCCUGCUUGCCGGGGAUGCCUCCUUCCGUUGUCCUCAUGCUCGUCACCGGUCACCUCUCUACCUUCGGCCGACCUCCACUAACGGCUCUGCCUGUGCCUCGAUCCCAUGCACCAUGGCCGCUUGGAUGGCCAACCACCGUACACAGGCAACUGCCGUGCUAUGUAUCCUCGACCACUAUUGUUGUUUUUCUAAAGAUAUUCUUAUUCCAUUUGCACCAACCUUGCGGUUUAGUAACAUGAACGUCUUUGUUUCUUCUACUACAAUGACAGGAUAAGAGUACCUUAUCCUUUCAGCGGGGUGCUCCAACUUUUGAUGCUGGUGAAGCUUUCGCAAUGAUGGCUGCAUCCUCCAUCAUUUGUUAGUCUCCGUUGGAGGUUUACUUAAAAUGAGGUAGAUAUGCUAGAUUCUUUUGUCAAAUAAAAACAUGACUAUCUACUUUGCUUGUCAGGACCAAGAUCUCUAGCUAUCAAUGAAAUUUUGAGAGUAGUUUUUGUUGCCUUUGUGUAACCCUAAUAGCAGCUUCUUGGAGGGUUCAGAUGUGUGGCAAAGGAUUUCAAUUUUCCUGUUUACACAAAGGAAACUUGAAUAAGGUUCAGAUUUCUCAUGCUCGGUUCUGUGCUCUCAAGGUUACAUAGACAAAAAUGCCUCCUAUUUACACAAAGGUAACCCCAGGAAGGUUUAAAUUUCUCAUGACAGCUUCUUGGGCAUUUCAUGCUUGUGCCAUCUUAUUAGGAAAAUGUAGUUUGCCUGAUGAUGCUCGACGCUUUUAUCGAUUAGCACGUGCUCAGUUUUAGCUCAUAAACUACAUGGCAAAAGCUAAUUUUGAUGGGUCUGAUGCAAAUAAUUUUCAUCUUCAGACAUGCCUUGAGUUGAUUAUUUAAUCCUUUUAUAAGAAUCUAUCUAGCUUUGUAUUGUUGCAGUUUCAUUAUAUAUCCACUUACCUAUGCAUCUAAAGAUUCAACAAUGUACAAUCCACCAUCAGUCUUGGGACUACAAAUUGUUUCUUCAUUCCUCCGUGUUGCACUGUAGGUACUAAGGGGUCGAGGUCGUAUGUUCGUCGAGGCAUCAAUACACUUCACUUUCAUUUUCAUUUUCCCUUUUCCGUUCUUGCAUUCAUUUCUUCUUCACGAACCUCUCUUCCCGCUGCUUUAAUAUGGUUCUGAUUGGUGCCCUACAUCUUCCAAGAUAUAUGGAUUUUGGUCGAGGCAGUCAUCACAUAAAUAAAAUGCUAACAUCCUCUCAAUUUCUAAAUGGAUUUGUUGAAUUGCCUUUCUCUUUGUUGGAUUAGAUACCUGAUAUUUUUGUUGUCCUUGAAGCAAAUACCAUGACUUGAGAUUGAAGUUUUCGAAGAUACAAAAGGUUGAUAGAAAGAGUAUACACUGAUUUCAGCUGCGGACACUUAAGAGCUGAGGCUCUCCCUGAUAGGUAACUCAACUUUCAACAUAUUCAUUGCAGAAGCAGAAACAACGGGAUACAUGACCUGAAUACUUGCAUUCUGACUUGUUUUUGCCCGUGCCUCAAAUUGGAAUGAUGUCCAUGCUGUUGACCUCUACAAGUUACCCACACUUCAGGUAACCCAAGGGUUGGAACCCCAACAAUUUAGGUAAUAUGAGAAAAUUAGACUGCUUGGGUCAUGUUGGUCAAUAGAGUAAUUAGCAUGUUGGUUCUGUUUUGAGAUGAUGUAAACUUGAUGUAUAGAGAAAUAUUGAUGGCAAUGAUCAGUGUGGAAUAUGAUAGUUACAGAGUUCUUCCUCAGUUAUUAUUCAGCAAAGAUUGGACACGUGUGAUUUGUUCUACUACCAAGUCAAUCUUGGUCCAUAUUGUCGGAGUUUUCUUAUUGAGUUUAUUUUGUUGCUAUUAGUAUUUUUCAUUUAUGCAGAGGCCUGGUGUAAUGAUUUAAACCUUUUAAGUAAUAAAUCCACCCUUCAUCGAAAAAAUAGUAUUUUCAUUUAAACUGGAAGUUUAUGAAGAAGGGGCUUUGUUGAAAUGCAUGAAUUUGUUUUCAUAUUUUCUUUGGAAGAAUGAGAUGACCAGGAACAUUAUCAAGUUUGUAGUUGUUCAUCGCCUCAUCCUUAAAAAAAGGUUGUAGCUGCUCACGUAAUAUUCACACAUGAUUGGUGGCAUGGCAGUGGCCGGCGGAAGCAAGCUUCUAUUUGACACAGAAAUCUCAUUUUUCUAGCUACUACAAGAAAUCAUGGAGCAGUUUGUAGGAUUAUGGCGGAUCCUACACAUGUGUUACAUGUGUUUCUCUCUACUUUGUGCUCCUGAUUUGUUUUCCCUGCGAUAUGGUGGAUUAAUGUAUAUUCUUCUGAAGUCAUAGUACAUUCAUCGUCUGUAUAUAUGUUUGUAUGCUGCAAACCAGAGUCCGGCAAGCAGCAGCUGAUUUCUUCAUUUGCUAUCUUUAUAUUCUUCAAAGAAAUUAAAUUUCUUAUCUUGCACCUGAGAUGAACCUACAAUCUAGAGCACAAGGAAACUAUAGAUCAUUUUUUCUAUUGCUUCUGCGAACUUAAGUUAUGGCUUUCAGAAGUAUUUAAACAUCAUGUCCUUUAUAUGGUUGUCUACCUUUGCAAAAUAAUCAAUUGAGCUAUCAAACAUAAUAUAGGACACAAAAAUAGAAGUGUAUGAGCAUGUAGUGUAUAGUUGGGGAGAUUAGGGGAAUGUACUGACAAGUGACAAGCAUAUUUCCUUUCGUCCUCGAUGCUGCUUCCUUAGCUCACACAGUAGUUCUCUUAAUAUGUAUCAUACUCAAUUUGAUUGGCAGGCUUCAGGUAAUUUGUGUUCAUGUGGUAAGAUCAACGGACUUGUACUGCUACGAAUUACAUCACAGACUAUGUGCUACUUUAUUAAUUGUAGUUUCUUUGUUCAGUUAGUUCUCUGGAGAAAAACCACUUCUUCUCCCGAUGUAUAUGUUUCUUGGCAAAAUUUGCUGUGAUACUAAUCUUCCAAAGAUUGUUGUAAGAAAUAACUAUAUUUACUAUCUUAUCUCACUAGUGGGCUAACUCUAUAAAAGAACUAAUAAGGAGAUUUCUUAGCAGCACUUUAUAUGUUUGGAGCAGUGAGAUAAUUUUAGCAUAUAUGACAUAUAUGAAUUUCUUUCUCUUGCCUUUCCUGAUUUCGUUUUCCCCUCCAUUUUUUUCAGGUUCCAAGGUUUGGCCGCAACUAGCUUGAUUUGGAGACAUUUCCAGUUAGGAGUUAAACUUUGGUUUGGAGGCAUUGAGCUUUGGCUAUAACUAGCUUUGUUACUUGGUAUAUCUCUGUCGGUGUUCAGGUAAACACUAUCUACCACAUUGUUUAAUCUGGGGUUUACUCUAGUGCCAUGUGUACUAUAUUGCUAGAUUUAACUCUAAUCUAUGAGUUGCUCUGUAUCUAUUUCGGAAUAAAUGGUUCAUACUAGGAUUUAAUUAGUGAUCUUACUUCUGUUGCUUCUUGGCGACUAUGAAAUAUAUUGCAUUUUCAUGGAAGCAGGAGCCAGGUAGUUGUGGAGUGGGUCAUGGGAGAGGCGGUCGGCGAGCGCGGGAUGGACGGGAAGGUGAUUCCUGUGAUGGCGACCAUGCCGGCGGGCAGGGCAGGGUCGAUCGUGGCAAUCAUGGUGUUUCCGAGGGAGAGCGAGGCAUCUGCCGUCGCGCAGCUAAAGAAGUCGAUGCUCGGGUGAGGUUGGCCACCGUGGCCGCGUGAAAGCUGACGGACUUAAAGGCCGGUGACAGGUUCGCCGUCGUCGCACCGUCUCUCAACUUGGUGGAGACGCGAAAGGAGAGCCGUGGCGCCAUGAAGACCUCGACGCAUGCUACCGUGACCACGACCAGGCCAUUGUGCUGGUAAUAAAGAUACUUUUUUUGUGGGGCGCUGGUAAUAAAGAUACUAAUUGUAUACAUUUCCCCAGCUUCGAAAACAUUAGAUAAAUAUCCAACUUAUUAUUGAAAAAUCUUGAUUCAACAUAAAUGAAACCUUCCUAUAUACAAUGAGCUUCAGAAACAUUAGAUAAAUAUCCAACUUAUUAUUGAAAAAUCUUGAUUCAAGAUAAAUGGAACCUUUCCUAUAUACAAUGAGCUUAUUAUUGAAGGUUCCAUCGAUUGUGCUAUUAUUGCUGAAAUAAGAGGCUUAUGUGAAUUUGUCAAUCUUUUUGUACCUUGUAAUAGUGAUUGCCAGUCUUUGUGUACCUUGUGAUAGUGACUGUCAAUCUUUGUGUACCUUGUAAUAGUGACACGUGGAUGCGUGAAGUUGAGUGAUACUCCCUCCGUAAAAAGUAUAAGAGCAUUUAGAUCAGAAAGUCAAUGUGGCUCCUGGGAGCAUAUGCUUCCGAGGCCAAAUUUUCUUUGAAAAAUAAUUCAAGACAAAAUUUGUUUGUAUACUUAUUCACAUCCAAGUGCCACCUGCAAAUUUGGAGGAAAAAAGCUUAAACAUUUUGGCUUGUGCAAAAAAAAAUUGAACACCAAAAGUUACCCCAAAAUGUCAGCCCAAAUUUGUUUUUUUGGCCGAUGAAACACCACCGCUCCGCUUCGCAUGAAAUUGUCAUGCAUGCUUGCAACACAAACACAAACAUCUACAAAAAAAUCAGAAUUUUUUGAAUACAUUUAAUAUAAUUUUUUGCGUUACUCCAGUUAUCAGUUCUUGGGUGGCGAUUGAUUUCGCUGGUUAAGGAGAUAUGAAGGUUGCCCAGAAGGAAAAAAAGUGAAGACAAUUUAUAUUCGUCGUUGCAUGAUGAAAACUGGAUGUAACCAUGUUUAACUCGUAUUUCUAAGUUAGAAGAAUAAUUUGAUUAACGUGUGCAUAUUUUUAUUAUUCCGUAGCAACGUAUGGGUAUUCGGCUUUUGCCCGUAGCAACGCAUGGGCAUUCUACUAGUAUUAUGCUAAUACUUCAAAACACCCCAUGUAUUUUUUAUGUAGACCGGAUUUCAAGUUGUGUAUUCAAAGUAUGUUGGGACCAAGCUUGAAUACAAAAAUUCCAAGCAUCCCAUCAUGAAAGAGGAUGACAUCAAAUAUAUGUAUUCUUUAAUCUAAUGAUGUCAAAUAAGCAUCUGAAUGACCGAGUUCCCAUCAAGGUAUUUAUAUUGAAUGUCAUGUCACUAGUCAGUCGUGUACAUUUAAGGAAUUUCUAGUGCUGGUUGUAUGUGCAUAAUGGUUAACAGUGCUUAUCUGUCCGACAUUUGUGCUAGGUUGCCGAGGCUUUAGAUAAGACUAAAGCUGGUGUUAUCCUCACCGAGACAACCAAGGAGAAGCCAUCCAUUGGAACAAUAUGUUAAUUAUCAUUACGUAGAAAUCUGUGCUGAACUAGCAGGUGUUUAACCGAUUCACCUAUAUAUGCAGGUUGUAGCUGUUGGUCUGGGCUCUCUCGACAAGGAAGGCAAGAGGCAACCAUUGUCGGUGUCUCCACGCAGCACCGUGCUAUACUCCAAGUACGCAGGUGGCGAGUUCAAGGGAGCUGAUGGCACGAACUACAUUGUUUUGAGAGUGUCUGAUGUGAUGGUUGAGCUCUCUUAAGCGUCUGGUUUAUUACUUUGUUUUAGUUUUGAGUUGACGAUAGAGGCUAGCAUGAGUGGUAAGAUUGCUAUGUGAUAACCACUUGAUGUUGUUUCAGAUGAUUAUAGAAUUGUAUGAGCAAACCUGUUGUCUGGGUUAAAAACAUUUACCGAAUUGUUUAC
rnacentral:lncRNA from 1 species